CCUACGGGAGGCAGCAGUGAGGAAUAUUGGUCAAUGGACGAGAGUCUGAACCAGCCAAGUAGCGUGAAGGAUGACGGCCCUAUGGGUUGUAAACUUCUUUUAUAUGGGAAUAAAAUGUUCCACGUGUGGGGUUUUGUAUGUACCAUAUGAAUAAGGAUCGGCUAACUCCGUGCCAGCAGCCGCGGUAAUACGGAGGAUCCGAGCGUUAUCCGGAUUUAUUGGGUUUAAAGGGAGCGUAGGUGGAUUGUUAAGUCAGUUGUGAAAGUUUGCGGCUCAACCGUAAAAUUGCAAUUGAUACUGGCAGUCUUGAGUACAGUUGAGGUAGGCGGAAUUCGUGGUGUAGCGGUGAAAUGCUUAGAUAUCACGAAGAACUCCGAUUGCGAAGGCAGCUUACUACACUGCCACUGACAUUGAUGCUCGAAAGUGUGGGUAUCAAACAGGAUUAGAUACCCCAGUAGUC
rnacentral:rRNA from 1 species